AUGGCCAUCAUCUCGGACAUCCAGGAGGAGGAGGCGCCGCCGCCGCAGCAGCAGGCGGCCCCGGCGGCGGUCGACGUGGACCUGGAGGUCCUCGAGGCGGUGCUCGAGCGCAAGGGCGGCGCGCUCCCGUUCCUCCACGCGGCCAUCGACGUCGCGCACCGGCGCUCCGACCUCUUCCGCGACCCCUCCGCGGUCGGCAAGGUCACCGCGAUGGCCGCGGCGUGCAGGGCGCAGGUGGAGGCGGAGGAGAGGAAGGCCAGGGACGCCAAGAGGAAGGCGGCGGAGCUGGAGAAGGCGGCGGCGGCCGAGAAGGAGAGGGUGGUCAAGGCCGCGGCCGAGAAGGAGAAGCGGGAGAGCUCGGUGGUGACGGAGGGGCGGGUUGCAGGGAGCUCGGCGGAGAAGGAUGCCAGCACGGAGGUGGAGAAGAAGGAGGGCAAGGCGAACAAACCAAAUGCUGGCAAUGGUCUUGAUAUGGAGAAGUAUUCCUGGACUCAGCAGUUACCAGAGGUUAAUGUCAAUGUCCCUGUUCCUGAAGGAACAAAGUCAAGGUUUGUUGUCUGUGAGAUUAAGAAGGAUCAUCUGAAGGUUGGGUUGAAGGGCCAGCCUCCGAUCAUUGAUGGUGAGCUUCACAAACCAGUUAAAGUUGAUGACUGCUUCUGGAGCAUAGAGGAUGGGAAAGCACUGUCUAUACUACUGACAAAGCACAAUCAAAUGGAGUGGUGGAAAUCUGUGAUCAAAGGUGACCCUGAAGUCGACACCCAGAAGGUGGAACCAGAGACUAGCAAGCUUUCUGAUCUGGAUCCUGAGACUAGGCAAACCGUGGAGAAGAUGAUGUUUGACCAGCGCCAGAAGCAGAUGGGCCUGCCAACAAGUGAUGAAAUGCAAAAGCAAGACAUGCUCAAGAAGUUCAUGUCCCAGCACCCGGAGAUGGACUUCUCAAGGGUGAAGAUAGCUUGA
rnacentral:rRNA from 1 species